UGCAAUGCAGGAUGUCCAUAAUCAACGAAUGUUUUUCCAAGGAUACUGUCGAGGAGAUAUUGAUGUCAUUUGAAGUUGAGGCACAUAAAUUAGGAAAUGGUUGGAUUCAACCAGUGCUUAAACACCUAAAGAAAUUAUCCCCAACGGGAUUAAAAAUAACACUAAGAUCGAUUCGAGAAGGAAGGAAACAAACAUUAUCUGAGUGUUUGAAGAAAGAAUUCAGAAUCUCGAAUAACAUAUUAAGGAGAACAAUAUCUAAUGAUUUC